rnacentral:rRNA from 1 species
AGCAAAUAGAUACCCCGGUAGUCCACGCCCUAAACGAUGCCUACUAGGUCGUAGAAUCUCUGACGAUUUUAUGGCCGAAAGCAAAAAAGUGUUAAGUAGGCCGCCUGGGGAGUACGGUCGCAAGGCUAAAACUCAAAGGAAUUGACGGGGGCUCACACAAGCGGUGGAGCAUGUGGAUUAAUUCGAAGCAACGCGCAGAACCUUACCAGGGUUUGACAUGGUUGGAUGCCUUACUGGAAACAGUGUAGGUUGCCCGCAAGGGUGAAACUUCCACAGGUGCUGCAUGGCUGUCGUCAGCUCGUGUCGUGAGAUGUCGGGUUAAGUCCCUUAACGAGCGAAACCCUUGUCGUUAGUUACCAUCAGGUUAUGCUGGGAACUCUAACGAGACCGCCGGUGUUAAACCGGAGGAAGGCGGGGAUGACGUCAAGUCCUCAUGGCCUUUAUGCCCUGGGCCUCACACGUGCUACAAUGGCGUAUACAAAGCGACGCAAGACCGCAAGGUGGAGCAAAUCGCACAAAAUACGCCCCAGUUCAGAUCGCAGG